rnacentral:rRNA from 1 species
GACGAACGCUGGCGGCGUGCUUAACACAUGCAAGUCGAACGGUGAAGCUCCAGCUUGCUGGAGUGGAUCAGUGGCGAACGGGUGAGUAACACGUGAGCAACCUGCCCCUGACUCUGGAAUAAGCGCUGGAAACGGCGUCUAAUACUGGAUACGAGAAGGGUCCGCAUGGGCACUUUCUGGAAAGUUUUUCGGUUGGGGAUGGGCUCGCGGCCUAUCAGCUUGUUGGUGAGGUAAUGGCUCACCAAGGCGACGACGGGUAGCCGGCCUGAGAGGGCGACCGGCCACACGGGGACGGGGACACGGCCCAGACCCCUACGGGGGGCAGCGGGGGGGAAUAUUGAAAAAGGGGCGAAAGCCGGAUGAGGGGACGCCGGGUGGGGGAGGACGGCCUUCGGGUUGAAAACCUCUUUCAGCAGGGAAGAAGCGAAAGGGACGGUACCUGCAGAAAAAGCACCGGCUAACUACGU